AGUCAACUAAAAUCAGGUUACAUUUUACCAAUUAUGUUUUAUGCAAUACAGGCUACAUGUAAAAAACUGGAAGCAUUUAGAAUGGAUAAAGAACUUGGAAAUCAUGACUACCGUAAAAAAAAAGAAGGAAAAUCGAGUAUUUGGGCCACAUCAUACAAAAUGAUACUUGGGUGCUGAUAUAAAGAAAUGAGAGUAAAAUAAAAUCAGGCUACUUAAAUAUUACUUUUUACCAAUUCUGUUAUAUGGUCAUGGACACUUACAGAGGCUUCAUUUAGAAAACUGGAAGCAUCUAGCAUUUAUGAAGAUCUUGAAAAUGACUAACACUGUGAAAAAAAGGAAUAUUGAAUAAACGGGCCGUAUCAUAUAAAAUGAACAUAGAGGUAUUUUUCUGCUCACAUAAAGAAAUAAGCCAACUAAAAAUCUUCAUUUUUCUAAUUAUGUUAUGGAAUGCAUUCAUGGACAUUUAAUGAGGUUUCAUUUAGAAAACUGGAAGCAUUUAACAUUGAUGAAGAACUAUGAAAUGAAGACUUCUAUAAAAAAAAGAGGAAUAUUGAGUAAAUGGGCCGCGUCAUAUGAAAUGGAUCUGAGAGGUACUUUUCUACUGAACACAGAAAUAAGAGGAUGAAAAGUCGACUAAAAUCACGUAUUUCCAAUUGUGUUAGAUGGAAUGCAGUCAUCCAGACUUCAUGAAAACUGGAAGCAUUCCAGAUUUAGCUCCACGGAAGAAUAUUUGAAAUCUCUUGGACCUCUGAAAUCAUCAAUAUUGCAAAAAAAAAGAACUCUAGUAUAUGGGCUUUAUAAUGUGAAAGAUGUAAUACGCUUCAGCUCAUAUGUUCUAAUCAGACUAAUCGAAAGCCGGGUGCACGUGUUUGGUACACAUUUUCAUACAAAAACUAACACCUCAGUGAAGCAAUAACUGCAGAGAGGCUUAGAAGUAUUAAAUUUUAUCAGUUACGUUGAGAAAAAUUCACUAAAAUGGCAGAAGAAAUCAACCCAAAGGCAUAUCCUCUAGCUGAUGGUCAGCUUACAAUGAAAAUUUUGAACUUGGUACAGAUGGCACAGAACUACAACCAAUUAAGAAAAG